CUACGGGGCGCUCCAGUGGGGAAUUUUGCGCAAUGGGGGAAACCCUGACGCAGCAAUACCGCGUGAGUGAAGAAGGCCUUUGGGUCGUAAAGCCCUUUUCUUGGGGAAGAUAGUGACGGUACCCAAGGAAUAAGCGCCGGCUAACUCCGUGCCAGCAGCCGCGGUAAUACGGAGGGUGCAAGCGUUGUUCGGAUUUACUGGGCGUAAAGGGCACGUAGGCGGCACAGCAAGUUAAGGGUGAAAUCCCGGGGCUCAACUCCGGAACUGCUCUUAAAACUGCUGAGCUAGAGAUAGUCAGAGGCGGGUGGAAUUCCAGGUGUAGAGGUGAAAUUCGUAGAUAUCUGGAGGAACACCGGUGGCGAAGGCGGCCCGCUGGGGCUAUUCUGACGCUAAGGUGCGAAAGCGUGGGGAGCAAACGGGAUUAGAUACCCCCGUAGUC
rnacentral:rRNA from 1 species